GACGAACGCUGGCGGCGUGCCUAAUACAUGCAAGUCGAACGCUGAAGCGAGGAGCUUGCUCUUCUUGGGUGAGUUGCGGACGGGUGAGUAACGCGUAGGUAACCUGCCUGUUAGCGGGGGAUAACUAUUGGAAACGAUAGCUAAUACCGCAUAAAAUUUAUUAUUGCAUGAUACUUAAUUGAAAGAUGCAACUGCAUCACUACCAGGUGGACCUGCGUUGUAUUAACUAGGUGGUGAGGUAACGGCUCACCAAGGCGACGAUACAUGACCGACCUGAGAGGGUGAUCGGCCAAACCGGGACUGAGAAACGGCCCAGAACCCUACGGGAGGCAGCAAUAGGGAAUCUUCGGGAAUGGGGGGAAAGCUGACCGAGCAACGCCGCGUGAGUGAAGAAGGUUUUCGGAUCGUAAAGCUCUGUUGUAAGGGAAGAACGGGUGUGAGAGUGGAAAGUUCACACUGUGACGGUAUCUUACCAGAAAGGGACGGCUAACCACGUG
rnacentral:rRNA from 1 species